AGAGUUUGAUCCUGGCUCAGAACGAACGCUGGCGGCGUGCUUAACACAUGCAAGUCGAACGAUUUUAGCCUUUCGGGGCGAAAGAGAGUGGCAGACGGGUGAGGAACGCGUGGGAACAUACCUUGUAGUGGGGAACAACGAUUGGAAACGAUCGCUAAUACCGCAUAAGCCCUAAGGGGGAAAGAAGUAAUUCGCUAUAAGAGUGGCCCGCGUUAGAUUAGGUAGUUGGUGGGGUAAAGGCCUACCAAGCCUGUGAUCUAUAGCUGAUUUGAGAGGAUGAACAGCCACACUGGGACUGAGACACGGCCCAGACUCCUACGGGAGGCAGCAGUGGGGAAUAUUGGACAAUGGGGGAAACCCUGAUCCAGCAACGCCGCGUGAAUGAUGAAGGCCUUCGGGUUGUAAAGUUCUUUUACCUGAGAAGAUAAUGACGGUAUCAGGGGAAAAAGCACCGGCUAACUUCGUGCCAGCAGCCGCGGUAAUUC
rnacentral:rRNA from 1 species